GAUGAACGCUGGCGGCGUGCUUAACACAUGCAAGUCGAACGGUGAAGGCGGAGCUUGCUCUGCUGGAUCAGUGGCGAACGGGUGAGUAACACGUGAGCAAUCUGCCCCUGACUCUGGGAUAAGCGCUGGAAACGGCGUCUAAUACUGGAUACGAGCUGCGAAGGCAUCUUCAGCAGCUGGAAAGAAUUUCGGUCAGGGAUGAGCUCGCUGCCUAUCAGCUUGUUGGUGAGGUAAUGGCUCACCAAGGCGUCGACGGGUAGCCGGCCUGAGAGGGUGACCGGCCACACUGGGACUGAGACACGGCCCAGACGCCUACGGGAGGCAGCAGUGGGGAAUAUUGCACAAUGGGCGAAAGCCUGAUGCAGCAACGCCGCGUGAGGGACGACGGCCUUCGGGUUGUAAACCUCUUUUAGCAGGGAAGAAGCGAAAGUGACGGUACCUGCAGAAAAAGCGCCGGCUAACUACGUG
rnacentral:rRNA from 1 species